rnacentral:rRNA from 1 species
UCUAGCUACAGGCUUAACACAUGCAAGUCGAGGGGCAUCAGGAAGAAAGCUUGCUUUCUUUGCUGGCGACCGGCGCACGGGUGAGUAACACGUAUCCAACCUGCCCUUUACUCGGGGAUAGCCUUUCGAAAGAAAGAUUAAUACCCGAUAGCAUAAUGAUUCCGCAUGGUUUCAUUAUUAAAGGAUUCCGGUAAAGGAUGGGGAUGCGUUCCAUUAGGUUGUUGGUGAGGUAACGGCCCACCAAGCCUUCGAUGGAUAGGGGUUCUGAGAGGAAGGUCCCCCACAUUGGAACUGAGACACGGUCCAAACUCCUACGGGAGGCAGCAGUGAGGAAUAUUGGUCAAUGGGCGCUAGCCUGAACCAGCCAAGUAGCGUGAAGGAUGAAGGCUCUAUGGGUCGUAAACUUCUUUUAUAUAAGAAUAAAGUGCAGUAUGUAUACUGUUUUGUAUGUAUUAUAUGAAUAAGGAUCGGCUAACUCCGUGCCAGCAGCCGCGGUAAUACGGAGGAUCCGAGCGUUAUCCGGAUUUAUUGGGUUUAAAGGGAGCGUAGGUGGACUGGUAAGUCAGUUGUGAAAGUUUGCGGCUCAACCGUAAAAUUGCAGUUGAUACUGUCAGUCUUGAGUACAGUAGAGGUGGGCGGAAUUCGUGGUGUAGCGGUGAAAUGCUUAGAUAUCACGAAGGACUCCGAUUGCGAAGGCAGCUCACUGGACUGCAACUGACACUGAUGCUCGAAAGUGUGGGUAUCAAACAGGAUUAGAUACCCUGGUAGUCCACACAGUAAACGAUGAAUACUCGCUGUUUGCGAUAUACAGUAAGCGGCCAAGCGAAAGCAUUAAGUAUUCCACCUGGGGAGUACGCCGGCAACGGUGAAACUCAAAGGAAUUGACGGGGGCCCGCACAAGCGGAGGAACAUGUGGUUUAAUUCGAUGAUACGCGAGGAACCUUACCCGGGCUUAAAUUGCAGUGGAAUGAUGUGGAAACAUGUCAGUGAGCAAUCACCGCUGUGAAGGUGCUGCAUGGUUGUCGUCAGCUCGUGCCGUGAGGUGUCGGCUUAAGUGCCAUAACGAGCGCAACCCUUAUCUUUAGUUACUAACAGGUUAUGCUGAGGACUCUAGAGAGACUGCCGUCGUAAGAUGUGAGGAAGGUGGGGAUGACGUCAAAUCAGCACGGCCCUUACGUCCGGGGCUACACACGUGUUACAAGGGGGGGUACAGAAGGCAGCUAGCGGGUGACCGUAUGCUAAUCCCAAAAUCCUCUCUCAGUUCGGAUCGAAGUCUGCAACCCGACUUCGUGAAGCUGGAUUCGCUAGUAAUCGCGCAUCAGCCACGGCGCGGUGAAUACGUUCCCGGGCCUUGUACACACCGCCCGUCAAGCCAUGGGAGCCGGGGGUACCUGAAGUACGUAACCGCAAGGAUCGUCCUAGGGUAAAACUGGUGACUGG